rnacentral:rRNA from 1 species
GAUGAACGCUAGCGGGAGGCCUAACACAUGCAAGCCGAGCGGUAUUGUUUCUUCGGAAAUGAGAGAGCGGCGUACGGGUGCGUAACACGUGUGCAACCUGCCUUUAUCUGGGGGAUAGCCUUUCGAAAGGAAGAUUAAUACUCCAUAAUAUAUUGAACGGCAUCGUUUAAUAUUGAAAGCUCCGGCGGAUAGAGAUGGGCACGCGCAAGAUUAGCUAGUUGGUGAGGUAACGGCUCACCAAGGCGAUGAUCUUUAGGGGGCCUGGGAGGGUGAUCCCCCACACUGGUACUGAGACACGGACCAGACUCCUACGGGAGGCAGCAGUGAGGAAUAUUGGUCAAUGGGUGCAAGCCUGAACCAGCCAUCCCGCGUGAAGGACGACUGCCCUAUGGGUUGUAAACUUCUUUUGUAUAGGGAUAAACCUACCCUCGUGAGGGUAGCUGAAGGUACUAUACGAAUAAGCACCGGCUAACUCCGUGCCAGCCGCCGCAGUAC